rnacentral:lncRNA from 1 species
AUAAAGCUAUUCACCAUUGUUUCAACAUGAAGGUUUGUAAUAAAAAUUUGUUUCUAUCAGCAUUGCUUUGCAUUGCUGUUGCAGGAGUUUUGGGUCAAGCUCCUAGUAAUCCUCCUACGUCUACGCCGGCGCCACCCACACCACCGGCUUCUACUCCUCCUCCGACGACUCAAGCACCGCCUACACCAACCGCCACUCCGCCACCGGUUUCUACUCCUCCUCCCACUUCAUCACCGCCCCCAGUGACAGCUUCUCCACCCCCAGUUUCAACUCCUCCACCCAGUUCUCCUCCUCCUGCAACUCCACCACCUGCUUCUCCUCCUCCUGCAACUCCACCUCCAGCUUCUCCACCUCCUGCCACUCCUCCACCAGCUUCUCCACCUCCCGCCACUCCACCACCUGCAACCCCACCGCCAGCAACUCCUCCUCCUGCUACCCCACCACCAGCUCCAUUGGCUUCUCCUCCAGCCACAGUCCCAGCUAUCUCUCCAGUACAAACACCAUUGACAUCGCCACCAGCUCCGCCGACCGAGGCCCCAGCACCUACCCUCGGGGCUGCUACGCCAGGUCCAGCUGGAACUGACACGGUACAUUUUCUCUUAUUCCACCAUUUUAUAUCCUUCUUCUCCACCUACGAUCAAGCUUUAUUAUCGGUUGAAAUUUAAGCCUUUACAGCAAGACUUAAAAUAUAAUUUUAUUAAUGGUUUUAUAAUAUUAAAUUAUAAUUUUAUCAUUCUUACACAUUAAUAUAUAAUGUGAUAAAAUUUUUUACUUUGGGUACCGUGCCAACUUCCUAACGUCGCCCUUAAUCUUACAUAAACAACGAUCUGAGCUUGUCUCGAUAUUAGCUAACCCUUAAGCCAUUAGAGAUGGCUAUUGGUUCCGUCUCGACAUACCUUCAACAUAAUCUGAUUUAAAAUUAAAUACUUAUAUCUAUUUUUUAACACAAUAUUUAAAAUUAUCUAUAAUUUCUUCUCAACUUAUAAUUAAAAUAACAAUACUUCAGCGUAUUCAAAUUUACGUACCUAUGUUAAUCUAAUUUGACAAUAAUAUUUAUGUUAAUUGAAUUAAAGCUUGAGAUAUUAAAUUUAAUUAAGA